UACGGGGGGAGCAAGCGUUGUUCGGAUUUACUGGGCGUAAAGGGCGCGUAGGCGGCCUGUGCAAGUCAGUUGUGAAAUCUCCGAGCUUAACUCGGAACGGUCAACUGAUACUGCUCGACUAGAGUGCGGAAGGGGCAACUGGAAUUCUCGGUGUAGCGGUGAAAUGCGUAGAUAUCGAGAGGAACACCUGCGGCGAAGGCGGGUUGCUGGGCCGACACUGACGCUGAUGCGCGAAAGCCAGGGGAGCGAACGGG
rnacentral:rRNA from 1 species